rnacentral:rRNA from 1 species
GAUCCUGGCUCAGAUUGAACGCUGGCGGCAGGCCUAACACAUGCAAGUCGAACGGUAACAGGAAGCAGCUUGCUGCUUUGCUGACGAGUGGCGGACGGGUGAGUAAUGUCUGGGAAACUGCCCGAUGGAGGGGGAUAACUACUGGAAACGGUAGCUAAUACCGCAUAACGUCGCAAGACCAAAGAGGGGGACCUUAGGGCCUCUUGCCAUCGGAUGUGCCCAGAUGGGAUUAGCUAGUAGGUAGGGGG